rnacentral:rRNA from 1 species
AACGCGAAGAACCUUACCAAGGUUUGACAUCCUGGGAAUCUUUCCGAAAGGAAAGAGUGCCUUCGGGAAUCCAGUGACAGGUGAUGCAUGGCCGUCGUCAGCUCGUGUCGUGAGAUGUUUGGUUAAGUCCAUUAACGAGCGCAACCCUUUUGUCCAGUUGAAUUUCUCUGGACAGACUGCCCUGGUAACAGGGAGGAAGGAGGGGAUGAUGUCAGGUCAGUAUUUCCCUUACACCUUGGGCUACAAACACGCUACAAUGGCCGGUACAGAGGGCAGCCAACCCGCGAGGGGGAGCAAAUCCCAUCAAAGCCGGUCUCAGUUCGGAUUGUAGGCUGAAACUCGCCUACAUGAAGCUGGAAUCGCUAGUAACGGUAGGUCAGCACACUACCGUGAAUACGUUCCCGGGCCUUGUACACACCGUAGAGAC